UUGGUGCUCGAAAGAGAGCCGUAACACAGGUGCUGCAUGGCUGUCGUCAGCUCGUGUCGUGAGAUGUUGGGUUAAGUCCCGCAACGAGCGCAACCCUUGCCAUUAGUUGCUACGAAAGGGCACUCUAAUGAGACUGCCGGUGACAAACCGGAGGAAGGUGGGGAUGACGUCAAGUCCUCAUGGCCCUUAUAGGUGGGGCUACACACGUCAUACAAUGGCUGGUACAAAGGGUUGCCAACCCGCGAGGGGGAGCCAAUCCCAUAAAGCCAGUCGUAGUCCGGAUCGCAGUCUGCAACUCGACUGCGUGAAGUCGGAAUCGCUAGUAAUCGUGGAUCAGCAUGUCACGGUGAAUACGUUCCCGGGUCUU
rnacentral:rRNA from 1 species